UUUUGGGUGAUAAAAUUAAUUUCUUAGUUGAAUAAAAAAAUAAUGUCGAAAAUAAUUAAUUAAGCGGAUUUGCAAUUAAAUUCGAACGCAAAACAACGGGUCUGCAGCGACUACCUGGAAGUUUAUACUGUGGGGCCUGACUCCUGAUUUACAUAGAUAGGUGUGGGUCCGCCGUACUCUUCCUUCCGCAGCGUGAUUUGUAGUGUUCCCCUCCACCUCGCUCAUGGGCUCCUGUCUCCUUCUUCUGUUCUUCAGCCAGCCUUCCAAUCCCCCUUCUUUGCCCAGCGCCCUCCAUCGGUUGAUCAUUCUAGAAGUUACGCCCUUUUGAGAUGGUCUCCCUCGCCGACUCCCAGUGCGACAGGGUUCAGCGCUACCAGCAGGGCCGAUCCAUGCGCACCGUCCGGUCCCACCUCCCAUCAACACCGCCCGUCCUCCCAUCCUCCGCCGCUGUCUCCGAAAACCUAACCGACUCACUCGUCGAUUUCAAGCUACGGGAGCUUGCCUCCGUCGGAGCAGGACCUUCUCGCUCUGCCAAUUCCAGCGCCGAGCACGAGGAGCUUCUCGAAAUCUCCAGGGGCUUCUCUGACUGCUCCAGCUUUGGCUCCGACAUCUCCGGCGAGCUCCAGAGGCUGGCCUCCUUUUCCAUAUCUGAGGUGCCGCGGAGCGUUGUGGCAUCCAACGUCGAAGGUUUCGACGAAUCCGGGCUCAGCACGUCGUCGGAGAGCCUAGAGUACGCGUCGGUGGAGGGCGUCGAGCCGGUGGUGCGCGCUUGCGUGGAGCGUCUGAGGUCGGUGUCGGUGGAGGCGAAGCGGGAGGCUGCGGCGAGGAUCCGGCUCCUGGCGAAGCACCGGUCGGAUUUCCGGUCGCUGAUCGGGGCGUCGGGGGCGAUCUCGGCCCUCGUCCCGCUGCUGCGCAGCACGGAUCCGGCUGCGCAAGAGAAUGCGGCGACGGCGCUGCUUAACCUUUCGCUGGAGGAGGCCAACAAGAGGCGCAUAGCGGCGGCGGGCGCGAUCAAGCCGCUGGUGUACGCCCUGCGGACAGGGACAGCCUCUGCGAAGCAGAACGCUGCGUGCGCGUUGCUGAACAUUUCGAUGAUCGAGGAGAACCGGGCAACGAUAGGAGCAUGUGGAGCGAUCCCACCGUUGGUGGCGCUACUCGUGGGUGAAUCGAGCCGGGGGAAGAAGGACGCCCUCACCACGCUCUAUAAGCUGUGUUCCACGCUUCGGAACAAGGAGCGGGCGGUGAGCGCGGGCGCGGCAGUGCCUCUGGUGGGCAUGAUCGCAGAACCCGAUGGCGGCACAGCGGAGAAGGCAAUGGUGGUGCUGGGUAGCCUGGCUGCGAUCCCGGAGGGACGAGAGGCGAUAGUAGAGGCCGGCGGCAUCCCAGCGCUGGUAGAGGCGAUCGAGGCCGGGCCAGCAAGGGGGAGAGAAUUCGCUGUGCAUGCCCUUGUACUGCUCUGCGCCGACAGCACCCAGAACCGCGGUCUCCUGGUCAGGGAAGGUGCUAUUCCGCCGCUGGUAGCCCUUUCGCAGUGCGGUUCCGCCCGGGCCAAGCUCAAGGCAGAGACGCUUCUCCGAUACUUGCGCGAGCAGCGGCAGGACAUGGCGAGGUAAUUUGGUAAGGUACAUUGUUCUACACUGUUUUGGUGUAUAUCAUGUAUGGCAAUACUUCCUGUUCAAUCAAUGACUUUAAGUUUCUUAGUGCAAUAUUGAUGUGUACAAAACUUGUCUGAUGUUCUCGAAAUACAUUUGGAUUGUAAUAUUGUUGUUUUGUUGGUGUUACCAUCCAGAUGCUGCUGCUUGUUUGUUGAUUGCAUUGACAUCGAAUUGAUGACUUGCUCCUAGUCCUUUAUGUUUCUCACUUAUUGAUGCUUGCAAAUAUCUGUCACUCUAUACCUAGCUUCUUCUUAGCAUCUUCAUAGUUCAGCAACUUAGAAACAUCAGUAGUGACAAUAACAACAGAGAGCAAGUCAACCUUUGAUUCAAUCACAUAAUAUCAUUGUUUUAUGGUUAAAAAAAUGCUUCAAACUUUGAAAAUGAUUAGAGUGAUUAAAAAUUUUGGUUGUUACACGACUUUUUUUUUGUGCUUUCUAUAUAUCUUUGCACGUGUAACAUGGAUCUUGUUCGUUGAUUUUUAGAUAUUUUAAUAGGGAAACAAAUCAACAAAUUAUUAAAGGCACGCUUUUCAUCUAGAGAUGAACCUGUCUCUUUUUUCACUGUCAGAUCAUAUUCUUGAAAACUAAUAGAUAUGGCUACAAAAUUUGCAUCCGUUAAUUUGUGUCGGAAUGUAAAACUUUCCCAUCAAUGCUCUUGUAAGUAUCUCUCUGUUUUCCAGCCUCGUGCGAGGUAACGCUUGUAUCAUGGUUCUCAUAUCUAUGCCUUUCAAAUAGAAUAGUCAAAUUUAUUCAGGAUGGGAAGAGCCUGUCCUGAAGCAAAACCUGUACUAGUCAUGUGCAAGCCAAAGUUUGGGAAGAAAUAUAAUGUUUAUUUAAUUAUUAUGGCAUUGCCUUAAGUGCAUUUUUAUGUAGCUUCUAUUAUGGCUGUCUUCUCUGGUGUCUCGACUGAGUAUAUUUAAUUAGAAUUUUCAAUAGAUAAAAUACCAAAUGAAACCCAACCAUCUCAACAUUAUCAAUCAAAAUUCAAAAGUGGGAGACAUCGUCUGUCCCUCGUGCCGACCAGCAUUAAUUUGUAGGUGAACCGUCCGAACUACCACAUGCCUUCACAGUUCCUCUCCAUAUGGAGGUUGGAGAAAAUUUGUGAGCUAGAAGACAAAAACAUCUUGUUUCUAUAUAUUCGAAGGACUAUAUAUCUAUAAUCUAUCUAGAAAUUAUAUGGAAAAUAAAAAUGCAUAUAUAUAAUUCUAGGUUAUUAGUUAUGGUUAGAAGUUUUAUAACUCAUUCUAUCUAUAUGGAUAAAUAUAGUUAGUUAUAUAAUAUUUAUUAAAGUAAUUAAUACAGAACUAAAAUAGAUAGCUAACUAAGAUUAAGUAAUAGGUAAAAUUUGGUAGUUUUCCAGAUUUCUAUAUAUUAAUUUUUUCUUACAUUAUGUGUUACGUGGGCUUGCUUAGCUUAGAGCUUAGAGCUUAGAGCUUAGAGCAUUGUAUUUGUAAUGUAAUGGCCAUCAGUUUGACUCCGAGCAUUAUUAUUAAAACGUUUAUUAAUUCCUAUGUUGUAGUCACUCGGAUUAUGACUAGGCAUGGAUGACAAAUAAUCGAGUCUACUUAGCCCAAGUCCAAACUUGAAUCAUGCCAAUUUAUACAGACCCAAAAGUGAAGUGUGCCUGAUCAAAAGAAAACAUAAUUUCUUUAUCUGUGUUGCAAUGCUCUGAAGAAUAUUAAUGUCCAAACCAGAACAUUAGCAAUCGGGUAAGCACUUGAUUGUUCAUUUUAUGAUACUUUUAUCUUCAAGUGGGUCAUGAUUCACUUUACAACUUCUAUCUUUGAGGAAUAUGUACAGUUUGAGCUGCAAAGCGUGAACGCACCACAACUUCUAUCUUUGAGGAAUAUGUACAGUUUGAGCUGCAAAGCGUGAACGCACCACCAGACCACAAGGCCCCACUGUCUGCCAGAUUUGGCUCAGCUUUAAGCUUCGGCACGCGUUUGAUUCUACCUUUUCUCCUUCACGCUUGUUCUGCUUUGGUGCAGUGGAGUUGGUGUGCCACACUGAUAUAUUCUAUUCUAUGGUUGUGAAUGAUGAGUGAUGAAUAUCAAAUAUGUGCAACUCUGUACGUCCAAAGCUAUUUAAUUCAAGCUGAUUUCAAACUCAAA